CCUACGGGAGGCAGCAGUGAGGAAUAUUGGUCAAUGGGCGCGAGCCUGAACCAGCCAAGCCGCGUGAGGGAUGACGGCCCUACGGGUUUUAAACUUCUUUUGUAGAGGGAUAGAGUGAGGCACGUAUGCCUUGUUGUAUGUACUUUAUCAAUACGGAUCGGCUAACUCCGUGCCAGCCCCCGCGGUAAUACGGUGGGUCCGAGCGUUAUCCGGAUUUAUUGGGUUUAAAGGGAGCGUAGAUGGGUUGUUAAGUCAGUUGUGAAAGUUUGCGGCUCAACCGUAAAAUUGCAAUGGAUACUGGCAGCCUUGAGUACAGUAGAGGUAGGCGGAAUUCGUGGUGUAGCGGUGAAAUGCGUAGAUAUAACGAAGAACUCCGAUUGCGAAGGCAGCCUACUAAACUGCCACUGACAUUGAUGCUCGAAAGUGUGGGUAUCAAACAGGAUUAGAUACCCUUGUAGUC
rnacentral:rRNA from 1 species